rnacentral:rRNA from 1 species
CAAGCGUUGUUCGGAAUUACUGGGCGUAAAGGGCGCGUAGGCGGCACGGCAAGUCGGGAGUGAAAGCCCGGGGCUCAACCCCGGAACUGCUCACGAAACUGCCGAGCUAGAGUGCGGAAGAGGCAACUGGAAUUCCCAGUGUAGCGGUGAAAUGCGUAGAUAUUGGGAAGAACACCGGAGGCGAAGGCGGGUUGCUGGGCCGACACUGACGCUGAGGCGCGAAAGCCAGGGGAGCGAACGGG